rnacentral:rRNA from 1 species
GAGUUUGAUCAUGGCUCAGGAUGAACGCUAGCGGGAGGCUUAACACAUGCAAGUCGAGGGGUAUAAGUAGCAAUAUUUAGAGACCGGCGCACGGGUGAGUAACGCGUAUGCAACCUGCCCUUUACUGGGGGAUAGCCCGUAGAAAUGCGGAUUAAUACCCCAUAGUUCUGUUAGAUCGCAUGGUUUGACAGAUAAAGCCGAGGUGGUAAAGGAUGGGCAUGCGUGACAUUAGCUAGUUGGUAGGGUAACGGCCUACCAAGGCUACGAUGUCUAGGGGUUCUGAGAGGAAGAUCCCCCACACUGGUACUGAGACACGGACCAGACUCCUACGGGAGGCAGCAGUGAGGAAUAUUGGUCAAUGGGCGAGAGCCUGAACCAGCCAUCCCGCGUGCAGGAAGAAUGCCCUAUGGGUUGUAAACUGCUUUUUCGCAUGAAGAACACCUUUGACGUGUCAGAGGCUGACGGUAAUGCGUGAAUAAGCACCGGCUAACUCCGUGCCAGCAGCCGCGGUAAUACGGAGGGUGCAAGCGUUAUCCGGAUUUAUUGGGUUUAAAGGGUGCGUAG